rnacentral:rRNA from 1 species
UACGAAGGGGGCUAGCGUUGCUCGGAAUUACUGGGCGUAAAGCGUGCGCAGGCGGUUUUGUAAGACUGUCGUGAAAUCCCCGGGCUUAACCUGGGAAUGGCGAUGGUGACUGCAAGGCUAGAGUUUGGCAGAGGGGGGUAGAAUUCCACGUGUAGCAGUGAAAUGCGUAGAUAUGUGGAGGAACACCGAUGGCGAAGGCAGCCCCCUGGGUCAAAACUGACGCUCAUGCACGAAAGCGUGGGGAGCAAACAGG